rnacentral:lncRNA from 1 species
UUAGAACGGGAGGUCAGAUACAUCAACAGGAUGCUAGGACGGGAGGUCAGAUACAUCAACAGGAUGAUAGGACGGGAGGACAGAUACAUCAACAGGAUGUUAGAGAUGAUGGUGAUGUAGUUGAAGAUGUGAGAAAGGGAUGAUGGUGAUGUAGUUGAGGAAGUGAGAUGGGGAUGAUGAUGGUGAUGUAGUUGAAGAAGUGAGACAGGGAUGAUGGUGAUGUAGUUGAAGAAGUGAGACAGGGAUGAUGGUGAUGUAGUUGAGGAAGUGAGAUGGGGAUGAUGGUGAUGUAGUUGAAGAAGUGAGACAGGGAUGAUGGUGAUGUAGUUGAAAAUGUGAGACGGGGAUGAUGGUGAUGUAGUUGAGGAAGUGAGACACGUAUGAUGGUGAUGUAGUUGAAGAAGUGAGACAGGGAUGAUGGUGAUGUAGUUGAGGAAGUGAGAUGGGGAUGAUGGUGAUGUAGUUGAGGAAGUGAGACAGGGAUGAUGGUGAUGUAGUUGAGGAAGUGAGACAGGGAUGAUGGUGAUGUAAUUGAAGAAGCUGGGAGACAGGGAUGAGGGUGAUGUAGUUGAGGAAGUGAGACGGGGAUGAUGGAGAUGUAGUUGAAGAAGCUGGGAGACAGGGAUGAGGGUGAUGCAGUUGAGGAAGUGAGACAGGGAGGAUGGUGAUGUAGAUAAAGAUGUGAGACAGGGAUGAUGGUGAUGUAGUUGAAUAUGUGAGACAGGGAUGAUGGUGAUGUAGUUGAGGAAGUGAAACAGGGACGAUGGUGAGGUAGUUGAAUAUGUGAGACAGGGAUGAUGGUGAUGUAGUUGAGGAAGUGAAACAGGGAUGAUGGUGAUGUAGUUGAAGAUGUGAGACAGGGAUGAUGGUGAUGUAGUUGAGGAAGUGAGACAGGGGUGAGGUAGUUGAAUAUGUGAGACAGGGAUGAUGGUGAUGUAGUUGAGGAAGUGAAACAGGGACGAUGGUGAUGUAGUUGAAGAUGUGAGACAGGGAUGAUGGUGGUGUAGUUGGGGAAGUGAGACAGGGAUGAUGGUGAUGUAGUUGAAGAAGUGAGAUGGGGAUGAUGGUGAUAUAGUUGAAGAAGUGAGACAGGGAUGAUGGGGAUGUAGUUGAAGAAGUGAGAUGGGGAUGAUGGUGAUGUAGUUGAGGAAGUGAGACAGGGAUGAUGGUGAUGUAGUUUAGGAAGUGAGACAGAGAUGAUGGUGAUGUAGUUGAGGAAGUGAGACAGGGAUGAUGGUGAUGUAGUUGAGGAAGUGAGACAGGGAUGAUGGAGAUGUAGUUGAGGAAGUGUGACAGGGAUGAUGGAGAUGUAGUUCAAGAUGUGAGACAGGGAUGAUGGUGAUGUAGUUGAGGAAGUGAGACAGGGAUGAUGGUGAUGUAGUUGAAGAUGUGAGACAGGGAUGAUGGUGAUGUAGUUCAUAUUAUCGUUGUUUAUGAGGACACAUUCUUCAACUAUAGUUUAUGGGGACACUGACUAUGGGAUGCAGGGUUUAUGAAGUAGAAUAGUUUCAGGUCUUCAGUGAUGAUGGAUAUUGGUUGUGUUGACUUAUUUAACGUACCGGGUCAAAUGAUUGGACACAUGACACAUGAAUGAAAGUACAGGAUGACACAAAUGAAUGGGACAAUUUUAUUGACGCAUCAAAUAACAUAAAACAAUUAAAUUAUUAAAAUGUCGCUUUACUUUCAUCACAAAUUAUAAUCUUUAAUGUUUGAAUAUAUUUUGAAUACAUUAGGUUUGACUUAUGCGGUAAAGUGUUUCUAAAAUGUACGUAAAGGCUUAGAAAAAUACAUUUUAACUAACAAAUUGUCUAGAUACUAAAACCGUCACUUAUGACGCAUGCAAUGCAUUGGACAGGAAUUCUAAGUGUUAUGCUAAUGUCAUUUAUGGGAACAUAGCCUGUAUAAUUAUGUCUUCCCUACUCACCAGAGAUCGCUUCUUCAUGCAUUCCAUCACCAUGAGGAAGAUCUGCUGGGCCUGACCGCGGUUGUAGUUGAACGUCUUCUGUAUGGUGACCAGGAGCUGGUCCUUCACGCUAUCACUUACCAAGCUGAGGGGAGACGGAGAGACUGGUCAAACCAACUCCACAGUCUACACUUUAGGCUUGGAAAAUGAGAGGAGACAGAGAGACUGGUCAAACCAACUCCACAGUCUACUCUUUAGGCUUGGAAAAUGAGAGGAGACAGAGAGACUGGUCAAACCAACUCUACAGUCUACACUU